GAUGAACGCUGGCGGCGUGCCUAAUACAUGCAAGUCGAGCGAACAGACGAGGAGCUUGCUCCUCUGACGUUAGCGGCGGACGGGUGAGUAACACGUGGAUAACCUACCUAUAAGACUGGGAUAACUUCGGGAAACCGGAGCUAAUACCGGAUAAUAUAUUGAACCGCAUGGUUCAAUAGUGAAAGACGGUUUUGCUGUCACUUAUAGAUGGAUCCGCGCCGCAUUAACUAGUUGGUAAGGUAACGGCUUACCAAGGCAACGAUGCGUAGCCGACCUGAGAGGGUGAUCGGCCACACUGGAACUGAGACAGGGUCCAGACUCCUGCGGGAGGCAGCAGUAGGGAAUCUUCCGCAAUGGGCGAAAGCCUGACGGAGCAACGCCGCGUGAGUGAUGAAGGUCUUCGGAUCGUAAAACUCUGUUAUUAGGGAAGAACAAAUGUGUAAGUAACUAUGCACGUCUUGACGGUACCUAAUCAGAAAGCCACGGCUAACUACGUG
rnacentral:rRNA from 1 species